rnacentral:rRNA from 1 species
GAUGAACGCUGGCGGCGUGCCUAAUACAUGCAAGUCGAGCGAACAGACGAGGAGCUUGCUCCUCUGACGUUAGCGGCGGACGGGUGAGUAACACGUGGAUAACCUACCUAUAAGACUGGGAUAACUUCGGGAAACCGGCGCUAAUACCGGAUAAUCUAUUGAACCGCAUGGUUCAAUAGUGAAAGACGGUUUUGCUGUCACUUAUCGAUGGAUCCGCGCCGCAUUAGCUAGUUGGUAAGGUAACGGCUUACCAAGGGAACGAUGCGUAGCCGACCUGAGAGGGUGAUCGCCCACACUGGAACUGAGACACGGUCCAGACUCCUACGGGAGGCAGCAGUAGGGAAUCGUCCGCAAUGGGCGAAAGCCUGACGGAGCAACGCGGCGUGAGUGAUGAAGGUCUUCGGAUCGUAAAACUCUGUUAUUAGGGAAGAACAAAUGUGUAAGUAACUAUGCACUGCUUGACGGUACCUAAUCAGAAAGCCACGGCUAACUACGUG